rnacentral:lncRNA from 1 species
CUUCAAAUCAUGGCAUUUUCUAAGUACUUAGAAACCCAGAGUCCAGCAAACCCAAUCCUUUAUUUUAUAAAUAAGAAAAUGGAAGAAAGCUCAAGACAGGAAGUUACACAGUUAAUGCUAAAGGUCUGACAAUAAUCCAGAAAAGGGAAACUCUAACUCCUCGUCCCACUUAAAUGAACCUGUGCCCUGACCCCUCAAAGCCGUGGGUUUUCAUUUCAACACCUAUUGCACCAACAAUAAAUGAAUCAUCCAGUAAAAACUCCCCUAAUUUUCCCAAUCUCUAACCCAACAUGGUGGAGCCAAAAGAAUACAGCCUUGGUGCCAGAAAGACCUGGAUCCAAUCUCAGCUCUGUCCUUUACUAUCCACGUGACUGUGGGGAAGUUACUAAACCCAUUUCAGGCUAAAUGUCUUCACCUGUUAAACAGCAACAAUCGACUAGAAAUCCACCCAGGAGGGUUCGUGUGAUGGUGAGGAUACAAUGGCCAGAAGGUAGAUGGUCAAUGAUGGCGGUUAUUUUCACACGCCCCUCUCCGCCUCCUUAAGGUAUCCUUAUCUUCACCCACACCCUCCUCCUUCCCACCAGCAUCCCUCAGCAGACAGGGUUUUCAUCUUCUUUUCAAAGUGCAUCCCUCUUCCUCAGAUUAUGAAUCUGUGUUCUUCCCUGGGCUCCAAGCCAUCAGCGGACAGUUCUCUCCAGCACCUUAUACUCCUUCUCUGUGGACUGCUUCCCUUCUGGCUUCUCAGCUGCUCAAGAGUCCCCUGGCUUGAAAACGCCCUGGACGGAGAGGUUGCAGCAGAGUGGUUCCACCUGGGGAGCAGGGCGACAGUGAUGUUGACGUCCUUGUCCAGGGACACUGUGAGAGCCACUGCUCCAGAGCCUUGCAACUCAAGGUAUGGGCUGUGAACCAGCUGCUUCAUUCUCAUCGGGGAGUUGCCACAGAUGCAGAACAGAGUCCCCAUCCCAGACCUACUGACCUAGAGUCUGCACCGAACAAGACCAAUGCAAUGCCUGCGCACAUUCAAGUUUGAGAAGCACUGCUCUAGUCAACGGUUCUCAAUCCUGAAUAAACGUUAAAGUCACUGGGAAGUUUUUUUAAAAUACUAAUUCCUGGACCCCACCCCUGAGACUCUGAUUUAGUUGGACCGGAGUGGGGCCUCAAAGAUCAGUAUUUCUAAAUACAGCGGAAUCUUGUUAAAGCACAGACUUGGGUUGAGUAGGUCCGAGCUGGGGCUAAGGGUCUGCAUUUCUAAGAUCUCUCAGGUGAUGCUGCUGUCAUGGUCUGGGGAUCACACAUUAUGUGGCCAUCCAUUCUAGAAAGGGCCCUUAAUGCCCUCCUAGUCCCCAGAUUCAACCAUCUUUUUUCAAUCCUCAUCCAUCUUCAUCUCCCUACAGCUGUUAUCCAUUCUUCCUGCUUUGCAACACUGGUUCUCAGCCUUGACUGCAAAUCGCUAUCACCUGGCGAGCUUUACAGACUGCUGAUUCUCGGGCCCCAUGCCCAGGGAUGCGGAGGAAAUCAGUACGGGUGCAGCCCGGGAAGCCGAACGCCUGCAUCUCCACAGAUGACUCUAAUGAGAGCAAAGUUUAAGAAGCACUGAUUUAAAACCACUGCUUGCCACAUUCCUGAGAUACCUCACUCUUCUAUAUUUUCUCCUACUUCUUGAUCACUUCUUGGCAUCCGUCGCUUACUACUUUUUCUAUCACUCUGCUGGUUUUAUCCAUCACUACUACAAACAUGACUCUUGUAUCUGUAUCUGAAAGCUUGACAUCUAACUAAGCUCCCCACCCGGCCUCUGUUGACUUCCAGGUUUGGAUUAACGUGUCUGCUGCAUGGCUUUUCAAGCCCAUUUCCACUCACAGCUGCUUCCUGGCUUCCUGGGCUUUCACAGCUACUACAAUAGCCUCCAAAAUGUCUCUGCUUCUCACCUCUUUCCCCGACUCAGUUUACACACCUUGACAGUGGAGCCAAUUCCUUACUCCCACUCCACGGCGUCUAUUAACAUGUCACUGAAGUAGCACUCUCAGGGGCCAACCACAGGAGUACUACAAUGAACUAUUUCAUAAAAUAAUAUCCACACAUGCACAUGCCCAGCCUGCUUUAGCUGGUACAUUUCUUUUCUUUAUAGUACUUCUCAUCUUCUAACUUUAUACAAUUUAUUAUGUUUACUGUUAAGUAUCUGUCACCCACCGUUAGAGUAGAUGCUACAUGAGCACAGAGAUUUCUGUCUAUUUUAUUCUCUGAUUUGUCUCAAGAGCCCAGAAGAGCACCUGGAACUCAAUCAUUAUUGGUUGAAUGAAUUAAUAAAUUUCAACCAUAGUCAGCCAUGUAGAUAUCAGCUAAUUAUUCAUAAAUUAGGCCUUGGUUUGGUUUGUCCUGUCGCGUAUGUUUAGAAGAUGUGCGGAUCCCUUGCCCGGUCACUGUUCAGCCCUGAUGCAAACUGCUGAGAGUUACAAGCGACAAGGCUAAUGCACUGGCUGAGGAGGAAUCCACAGGCAAAAGCGACUUCUUCAGGGCCUCCCAGUACCAGGGACGCGGCAAGCCAUCUUUCUUCUCUGAGAUUAACCUGGCCCAGAGCCACAGUAAACACCCAAUCUUCCUUACAGGGAGGAAAGAUUAAAUAUCUGAUUAAAAUUUUUGGCUGCUAAUUUAUUGAACUUGGAUGGAUGAACCGUUUGGAAGUCACGUGACUUUCCCUGUGUGUCUGCUGUUAUUCCACAGAAAGAGGUCAGCGGCUCCGUGUGGGCGUGAGGGGGCUGGGAGGCCAAGGGGUGCUCUCUCAGGCCAUCUUUGGAAACGGGGGCCAGUUCUUUCCCAGUUAGCUCGGGAAUGCCCACCGCGACUGCGGCAGUUUCUGUUUCCGCCUCUGACUCUGUUCUUGUUGCUUUGUAGACGGUUCAUUUCAGCCCUCCCCCGUCUAUUGUUCUGAGCCACCCAGCAAAAUGAUGUCAUGGGCAGCUUAAAAGUAUACAGGAAGUCUUCAAAACUGAAUGACUUCAAUAUACUUUGUUCCGUGGACUCUUGCUGCCGGCUCUCCAUGGAAACCACACCCCGCAGACCUCAGGGAGGCGGCCAUAGGAUCAAAUCAUAGGCUCAGAGCGUCUCUCCUCUCCUCACCUCCGCCAUCCCAUUCUCUCCCCCGCCCCCGGGCCAGCGCGCCCACCGCUCACCUCCAGCCCAGGGCCUUGGACAGAGGCCAGCGCCAGAGGAGGGAAGGGAAGCUCAGAGAAAGGAAAGCCAGAGGAAUAGGAGGGCAGAGGGAGUUUCCUCAGAAAUACAGAGGCGCAGGACUCUCAGGACAACCAAAGGUCACCCUUAUUGGCCCUUCCCGACAGAGUCAGUCAGUUUGGCAGAGCUGCCAGUCAUGGCAAUGUCUCCAGAGAAGACGCACUGAUAGAAACCAUAUGGGACUUGUCUCAACUUGCAAAGUGCAGCAAGAGAGCUUCAUUGAGACUGCUGCCCAGUGACACACUCUGAGUAAAGUUAAGCAGGAGACAGUUUAUAACAGGAUCAUAAUAACAAAUACAUGUACAGGGCUUUACAGUUUACACAGCAGGCGUUUACAGUUUAUAUAUAUGCAUAUAUUACCAUGAGUCCAUCUCAAAAAGCCCCAUUUUACCAAGGGGGAUCAAAAACCUAAAGCAGAGAACUUUUUGAUUUACCCGGGGUCACCCAGCUGUCAAGGGUGGAAUUGGG